rfam:Myotis brandtii contig225816, whole genome shotgun sequence.
GGCAGUUCUCAGGUAAUGCACCCCAGAAUCAGGCUCUGUCCUCUCUGGUUCCAGGUGUGUCACCUGAGAACCGCA